rnacentral:rRNA from 1 species
UACGUAGGUGACAAGCGUUAUCCGGAAUUACUGGGCGUAAAGCGCACGCAGGCGGCGCGGUAAGUCUGAUGUGAAAUCUCCCGGCUUAGCUGGGAGGGGUCAUUGGAAACUGCCGAGCUUGAGGCGAUGAGAGGGGUGUAGAAUUCCCGGUGUAGUGGUGGAAUGCGUAGAUAUCGGGAGGAAUACCAGUGGCGAAAGCGGCACCCUGGCAUUAGCCUGACGCUCAUGUGCGAAGGCGUGGGGAGCGAACGGG